GUCCCCUGGUCUUGCAGCUGGUCAAUGCAACCACAGAAUAUGCCGAGUUCCUGCACUGCAAGGGAAAGAAAUUCACCGACUUCGAGGAGGUGCGCCUUGAGAUCGAGGCCGAGACCGACAGGGUCACCGGCACCAACAAGGGCAUCUCGCCGGUGCCUAUCAACCUCCGCGUCUACUCGCCGCACGUGCUGAACCUGACCCUGGUGGACCUGCCCGGAAUGACCAAGGUCCCGGUGGGGGACCAACCUCCCGACAUCGAGUUCCAGAUCCGAGACAUGCUUAUGCAGUUUGUCACCAAGGAGAACUGCCUCAUCCUGGCCGUGUCCCCCGCCAACUCUGACCUGGCCAAUUCUGACGCCCUCAAGGUCGCCAAGGAGGUGGACCCCCAGGGCCAGCGCACCAUCGGGGUCAUCACCAAGCUGGACCUGAUGGACGAGGGCACAGAUGCCCGUGACGUGCUGGAGAACAAGCUGCUCCCCCUGCGCAGAGGCUACAUUGGGGUGGUGAACCGGAGCCAGAAGGACAUUGAUGGCAAGAAGGACAUUACCGCCGCCUUGGCUGCUGAACGAAAGUUCUUCCUCUCCCAUCCAUCUUAUCGCCACCUGGCUGACCGUAUGGGCACGCCCUACCUGCAGAAGGUCCUCAAUCAGCAACUGACGAACCACAUCCGGGACACACUGCCGGGGCUGCGGAACAAGCUGCAGAGCCAGCUGCUGUCCAUUGAGAAGGAGGUGGAGGAAUACAAGAACUUCCGCCCUGAUGACCCAGCUCGCAAGACCAAGGCCCUGCUGCAGAUGGUCCAGCAGUUCGCAGUAGACUUUGAGAAGCGCAUUGAGGGCUCAGGAGAUCAGAUCGACACCUACGAACUGUCGGGGGGAGCCCGCAUUAACCGAAUCUUCCACGAGCGCUUCCCUUUCGAGCUGGUCAAGAUGGAGUUUGAUGAGAAGGAACUCCGAAGGGAGAUCAGCUAUGCUAUCAAGAAUAUCCAUGGCAUUAGAACGGGGCUGUUUACCCCAGACAUGGCCUUUGAGACCAUUGUGAAAAAGCAGGUGAAGAAGAUCCGAGAACCGUGUCUCAAGUGUGUGGACAUGGUUAUCUCGGAGCUAAUCAGCACCGUUAGACAGUGCACCAAGAAGCUCCAGCAGUACCCGCGGCUGCGGGAGGAGAUGGAGCGCAUCGUGACCACCCACAUCCGGGAGCGCGAGGGCCGCACUAAGGAGCAGGUCAUGCUUCUCAUCGAUAUCGAGCUGGCUUACAUGAACACCAACCAUGAGGACUUCAUAGGCUUUGCCAAUGCUCAGCAGAGGAGCAACCAGAUGAACAAGAAGAAGACUUCAGGGAACCAGGAUGAGAUUCUGGUCAUCCGCAAGGGCUGGCUGACUAUCAAUAAUAUUGGCAUCAUGAAAGGGGGCUCCAAGGAGUACUGGUUUGUGCUGACUGCUGAGAAUCUGUCCUGGUACAAGGAUGAUGAGGAGAAAGAGAAGAAAUACAUGCUGUCUGUGGACAACCUCAAGCUGCGGGACGUGGAGAAGGGCUUUAUGUCGAGCAAGCAUAUCUUUGCCCUCUUUAACACGGAGCAGAGGAAUGUCUACAAGGAUUAUCGGCAGCUGGAGCUGGCCUGUGAGACACAGGAGGAGGUGGACAGCUGGAAGGCCUCCUUCCUGAGGGCUGGCGUGUACCCUGAGCGUGUUGGGGACAAAGAGAAAGUGAGUGUGCCCUUCUCUUGCCUCCUGCCAGGCAUCUGCAGCCUGGCACCAGCUCCAGCCAGGUUUUCAAGCAAGGGACCUGGAGAUGUUCUUUUCUAAUUUCUGGAUUGGGGCCAGGCGCAGUGGCUCACACCUGUAAACCCAACACUUUGGGAGGCCGAGGUGGGCGGAUCACAAGGUCAGGAGUUUGAGACCAGCCUGGCCAACACGGUGAAACCCCAUCUCUACUAAAAAUACAAAAAUUAGCCAGGCAUGGUGGUGCGCGCCUGUAAUCCCAGCUACUCAGGAGGCUGAGGCAGGAGAAUCGCUUGAACCCAGGAGGAGGUUGCAAUGAGCCAAUACAGCACCACUGCACUCCAGCCUGGGUGACAAAGCAAGACUUUCUUAAAAUAAUAAUAAUAAUAAUUUCUGGAUUGGGAAAUUGAGGCAAAUUCUAGGCACUAGAGUCAGAACCAAGACAAGGCUGAAUCAGGGGAGUCUAGGGCCCUGAGAGGCACAGGGAUGCGGAGCCGGGUAUGUAUUCAGGCCAGUCGCUUCUCUCUGUGCCUCAAUAUUCUGGGUACCCUUGGAGGGGCUGAGAUCCUGGGGAUGCCUGGAGCCUGGCUGCAUGGCCUGGCCACCUGAGGCCCUUGUGUUCUCCAUGGCAGGCCAGCGAGACCGAGGAGAAUGGCUCCGACAGCUUCAUGCAUUCCAUGGACCCACAGCUGGAGCGGCAAGUGGAGACCAUCCGGAAUCUUGUGGACUCAUACAUGGCCAUUGUCAACAAGACCGUGAGGGACCUCAUGCCCAAGACCAUCAUGCACCUCAUGAUUAACAAUACCAAGGAGUUCAUCUUCUCGGAGCUGCUGGCCAACCUGUACUCGUGUGGGGACCAGAACACGCUGAUGGAGGAGUCGGCGGAGCAGGCACAGCGGCGCGACGAGAUGCUGCGCAUGUACCACGCACUGAAGGAGGCGCUCAGCAUCAUCGGCGACAUCAACACGACCACCGUCAGCACGCCCAUGCCCCCGCCCGUGGACGACUCCUGGCUGCAGGUGCAGAGCGUACCGGCCGGACGCAGGUCGCCCACGUCCAGCCCCACGCCGCAGCGCCGAGCCCCCGCCGUGCCCCCAGCCCGGCCCGGGUCCCGGGGCCCUGCUCCUGGGCCUCCGCCUGCUGGGUCCGCCCUGGGGGGGGCGCCCCCCGUGCCCUCCAGGCCGGGGGCUUCCCCUGACCCUUUCGGCCCUCCCCCUCAGGUGCCCUCGCGCCCCAACCGCGCCCCGCCCGGGGUCCCCAGGUGAGUAGGGGCUGAAUGCGACUGGAGAGGCUGCCGGACGGGCGUGGCCGGGAGGGAAAUGGGGCUGGAUUCCAGAGCAUCGGACCUGGCCGCCAGAACCGGCCGUUUCUAUCCCAGGCAAUCGGACUCUGGGUGCCGGAGCCACGCCACGUGUGGCCGAGGGCUGGCGGAGCCUGCCCCCGAGGGAGCGCUGAGUCCCGGAGGUGGUCGUUUCUGGGGAGGGGGCUGUGGGGCUCGUCCCACCUGCCCCCUUCUUUCCAGCACUUGCAUGGCGCUUCCCUCUAUUUUCACUCUUGGCGGCCGC
rnacentral:sRNA from 1 species